CAGAAGUCAGGUCGGAUUAAGCCAUAGUACGGAAAAAACUAUGCUACCUGUGAGCCCCGUCCAAGGACGUUAAAAGAAGUCAGGCCACUACAAGUGCCAUAGCUUGAGUAAACUAUGCAGCCUGUAGCUCCACCUGGGAAGGUGUAAAAAAUCUGGGAGGCCACAAACCAUGGAAGCUGUACGCAUGGCGUAGUGGACUAGCGGUUAGAGGA
rnacentral:lncRNA from 1 species